CUGGCAUGGGACUUUGAUUUUAUUGUGAUUGCACAGAAAGCUAACCUCUGCUUCUGUGGAUGGAUCGGUUUCCCUAGCUGCACACACUUCUCCUGGAAUGGCUCUAACUCCCCAGUAUCUGCUUCCAACAAACUUCUCUCCAGGCUAAACAGACACUUGCUACUCACACCACAGUGCAGGGGGAGUGAUGCUGAAAAAAGAAGAUGUGGUGUAGCUGACAUCUUGGCUUGUCUUGUGAUCUGAGUAACGUCGGAACGAUUCCAUCAAUGCUGUCAGGAACAGGUUCCAGAGCCCUCCAGGUAUCUGUCAGACACCACAAGCAAUCUGGGGAAGGAAUGCUGCAUGGCAGAGACAUCUGCUGGGUGCUGCUUGCACUCCUCCCACGCCUCCUGGUUCAGCUCUCUGGGAGUGUGGAUCCUUGGAGAAGCCCUGGGAGAAGCUGCCUCCAGCUGGGGAGUGAGUUUGUGACUGAUGGAGAAAGCAGCACACCCCUGCCCAGCCACUCAGUCACUCAACAGGAGCCAGAAAUCUAUAGGCUAUGUGCUAGAAAUUUUAAUGAAACUUUUGCAUCUAAAUUGAAGGCUAUGCUCCUCUAUCCAGCUGCCUGACAUUGAACUGUCAGAGGAAGGCUGGUGAAAUUCAUCCCUUUCCCAAGCAUAUACAGCAGGAGAAGAUCAGUGUUUUAAUUAGGGAAAGGAACUAUCAGGGACCUCUGCAAUUUUGACAACGUGCUUGCACUAAGGCACUGUUAUCCAAGUUAAAAACUGAAAAUGUGGUUUCAGAUUCUAGCAUCUCCUAAAUACCUUGCAUCAAUCACCUCCCUUCUAAGAGAGACACUGAUGCUACUCUCCACUACAAAGUGGAUCUCAAUCCCUCUCCCCCUUCCUUCUUCAUAGUGGGAAAACAUGGAUUGAUCACCCUGGGUUGACAGGAUCACACUGUGCUUUGACCAUAUCUCAGCAUCCUGUUUCUCAGCUUUAGACACUGGCUGAGACAAUGCAGAAAGCACUCGCUGAGUAAACCCCAGAAAGAUGAAAUCCUGUUUUGCACAACAGCAGAAAAGAGGAUGCUUUGCAAACUCAAUUCCCUUUUCUCCAAAUGAGGGAUCCAGCUGAUGCAAAGCAUCGUGCAAAUGAAAACAAGCUGUAUUUGAUUCCAUGCACACCGAAUGCUUGAACUGUGUUUAGCACAUCACAGGUGUAGGGUUUGAGUGAUAAUCCCCAGUGUAGCAGGAUUUUUCCUGCAGACACCAGUUCACAUCUGAUGGGAGACUGUUUUAAAACCAGCCUCUGCUCUUACAUUGCAAGUACAAUUCUCUCCCUCAAGCUACUUGCAGACAAAAACAUGUUUACCUCCACCUAUCAAAGCACCAGGGGAAAAGAACAGCCCCUUGAAGGAAAUUAAUCCCUGAAAAGCGUUUGAAAUGUUAUAAACAGCUUACUACCAGAGUGAACAGAUGCACUAAGAAGGAUAAACAAGUAUUUGCCCAGCCCCUCAGAGGGAGCUGGUUCCACACCCCCUUUACAGUCAUGCUAGGUGGGUAUCAGGGUCCCAGUGUGUGGUGGCCAAGGUUGUGGCCCAGCCCAGGUGUCCAAGGCAAGCAGCUCA
ensembl:lncRNA